rnacentral:lncRNA from 1 species
AUGGGAAAACAAAACGAAAUCAACACGGAAUGCAAGAAUGACAUACAUAUUAUCACGAAGUUUAGGCAGUGAUCAAUUGAGAUGGGAUAUUGGUUUCUUCACACAGUAAAUGGAAACAACUAUGGAUAUGGGUCUUCAGGUGUGCAUUUUGUAUGCCCCAGGUGCUGAACCUAAGAGGGAUCACCCCCCCGCGUGAAAGAAACUCCAUCGGACCCAACCCCAUGAUGGCCAAGACAUGAGGUGGAGUUUCGCUGUCACCAAUACGAAUGACCCAUGUUAUGUCAAGACGAAACUUCCAUUGUUGACA